rnacentral:rRNA from 1 species
UACGUAGGGAGCAAGCGUUGUCCGGAUUUAUUGGGCGUAAAGAGCUCGUAGGCGGCUUAGAAAGUCAGGUGUGAAACCUCCAGGCUCAACCUGGAGACGCCACUUGAUACUUCUAUGGCUUGAGUUCGGCAGGGGAACACGGAAUUCCUGGUGUAGCGGUGAAAUGCGCAGAUAUCAGGAAGAACACCAAUGGCGAAAGCAGCUCUCUGGGACGGUACUGACGCUGAGACGCGAAAGCGUGGGGAGCGAACAGG